rnacentral:lncRNA from 1 species
GAAGGCAUCAUGCAAUGUCUGUGUCUUCUGCUUUACCUCUUCUCUGACAUCUCAGCACUCCAGGUUUCACCAAGUUCUCAUCUCGCUGAGAGGGCACCUUACAUCAGAGAACCACAGAAUGGCUGAGUUCGGCAGGGACUGCCUGGCCCAACCCCUUGUCCAAGCAGGGGUGCCCAGAACAGUGUGCCCAAGAACAUGUCCAGGCAGCUUCCGAAGAUCUCCAUGGAGAAGACUCC